UGCGGUCGUGGUGGAAUGGCAGACACGCUAUCUUGAGGGGGUAGUGCCCACUGGGCGUGCGGGUUCAAAUCCCGCCGACCGCAU
rnacentral:tRNA from 1 species